rnacentral:rRNA from 1 species
UACGGGGGGGGCAAGCGUUGUUCGGACUUACUGGGCGUAAAGGGCUUGUAGGUGGCCACCUAAGUCAGACGUGAAAUCCCUCAGCUUAACUGGGGAACUGCGUCUGAUACUGGAUGGCUUGAGUUUGGGAGAGGGAUGCGGAAUUCCAGGUGUAGCGGUGAAAUGCGUAGAUAUCUGGAGGAACACCGGUGGCGAAGGCGGCAUCCUGGACCAACACUGACACUGAGGAGCGAAAGCCAGGGGAGCAAACGGG